GGAGCUUCUUGAUUGCCACAGGUGUCCCAUUAACCAGGCGACCACGAUAAACAACUCCAUAUCCACCCUCUCCAAUGACAUUUUCCUUGUUAAACCGACCACUAGCUACUUCCAGCUCUCUUAAAGUAAACCAAUGGCCCCAAUCAAGGUGGGAGAACUCCGGCAGAUCAGAGAGAGGUGAAGGUGUAGUUAUUAGAUGUGAGGAAGGCUGGUAAGCAGCAACUUUCCCAUGGAUUCCCUCCGACUGAGAGUUGAUACCAUCCUUCUCAAUGUUAGUAAAAGAGCCUGAUUGACUGCCGGUAUCUCCAUUCUUUGAAAGGGCCAAU
rnacentral:lncRNA from 1 species